UGAACGCUGGCGGCAUGCUUACACAUGCAAGUCGAACGGCAGCAUGACGUGUAGCAAUACACGUUGAUGGCGAGUGGCGAACGGGUGAGUAAUAUAUCGGAACAUGUCCUGUAGCGGGGGAUAACCUAUCGAAAGAUGGACUAAUACCGCAUACGAUCUAUGGAUGAAAGCGGAGGACCGCAAGGCUUCGCACUAUAGGAGUGGCCGAUAUCGGAUUAGCUAGUUGGCGGGGUAAAAGCCCACCAAGGCGACGAUCCGUAGCUGGUCUGAGAGGAUGAUCAGCCACACUGGAACUGAGACACGGUCCAGACUCCUACGGGAGGCAGCAGUGGGGAAUUUUGGACAAUGGGCGCAAGCCUGAUCCAGCCAUGCCGCGUGAGUGAAGAAGGCCUUCGGGUUGUAAAGCUCUUUCGGCAGGAACGAAAUGGUUCGUGCUAAUAACACGGAUUGAUGACGGUACCUGAAGAAGAAGCACCGGCUAACUACGUGCCAGCAGCCGCGGUAAUACGUAGGGUGCAGGCGUUAAUCGGAAUUACUGGGCGUAAAGCGUGCGCAGGUGGUUUCUUAAGUCAGAUGUGAAAGCCCCGGGCUUAACCUGGGAACUGCGUUUGAAACUGGGAGACUUGAGUGUGGCAGAGGGGGGUGGGAAUUCCACGUGUAGCAGUGAAAUGGUAGAUAUGUGGAGGAACACCGGAUGGCCGAAAGGGCAGGCCCCCUGGGGUCAAGAUUGGACGGCUUCAUGGCACCGAAA
rnacentral:rRNA from 1 species